UACGAAGGGUGCAAGCGUUGUUCGGAUUUAUUGGGCGUAAAGCGCGCGCAGGCGGAUCAGCAAGUCAGAUGUGAAAUCUCGGGGCUCAACCCCGAAACUGCGUCUGAAACUGCUAGUCUAGAAUAUUGGAGGGGCAGGGGAAUUUCACGUGUAGGGGUAAAAUCCGUAGAGAUGUGAAGGAACACCGGAGGCGAAGGCGCCUGCCUGGACAAUACUUGACGCUGAGGCGCGAAAGCGUGGGGAGCAAACA
rnacentral:rRNA from 1 species